rnacentral:rRNA from 1 species
UACGGGGGGGGCAAGCGUUGUCCGGAAUUAUUGGGCGUAAAGAGCUCGUAGGCGGUUUGUCGCGUCUGCUGUGAAAACCCGAGGCUCAACCUCGGGCCUGCAGUGGGUACGGGCAGACUAGAGUGCGGUAGGGGAGAUUGGAAUUCCUGGUGUAGCGGUGGAAUGCGCAGAUAUCAGGAGGAACACCAAUGGCGAAGGCAGAUCUCUGGGCCGUAACUGACGCUGAGGUGCGAAAGCUAGGGGAGCAAACGGG